UACGUAGGGUGCAAGCGUUAAUCGGAAUUACUGGGCGUAAAGCGUGCGCAGGCGGGUAUAUAAGACAGAUGUGAAAUCCCCGGGCUCAACCUGGGAACUGCAUUUGUGACUGUAUAGCUAGAGUACGGUAGAGGGGGAUGGAAUUCCGCGUGUAGCAGUGAAAUGCGUAGAUAUGCGGAGGAACACCGAUGGCGAAGGCAAUCCCCUGGACCUGUACUGACGCUCAUGCACGAAAGCGUGGGGAGCAAACAGG
rnacentral:rRNA from 1 species